rnacentral:rRNA from 1 species
AUGGCGGAAGCGGCGGGAGUGCGCGUGCUGGAGCGGCUCCGCGUGGCGCCGGCGCCGCCGUGCCCGUCCGCGGAGCUCCCCAUCACCUUCUUCGACGCCGCCUGGCUCUUCACCGGCCCCGUCCAGCGCCUCUUCUUCUACCGCCACGCCCACCCGGCCGCCGCGCUCCCGCUGCUCGCCGCCUCCCUGCCGCACGCGCUCGCCCGCUUCUUCCCGCUCGCAGGCACCAUCAGCCCCGCCGCCCGCUGCCUCUCCUACUCCAGCGGCCACCACGCGCUCCACCUCGUCCUCGCUGAGUCCCACGAGGACAACUUCGACCGCCUCGUCGCCGCCGGGCCACGGGACCUGAGCCUGAUGCGCCCGCUCGUGCCCGCGCUGCCCCCGCCCGGAAAGGACGGGGCUUUCGCGCUCGCCGCCGUGCAGGCCACCGUGUUCCCCGGCCGCGGUGUCUGCGUCGGCGUCUCCGUCCACCACGCCGCCUGCGACGACGCCUCCGCCACGCUCUUCGUCCGGACCUGGGCCGCCGCGUGCCGCCUCGGGGGGCCCCUCGACGGUGCCGAUCACUCCCAGGCCGUGCCGCCACCGCCCGUGCUCGACCGCUCCCUCGUGGCCGACCCCGACGACCUGCUCGGCAAGACGCUCGCCGGGAUGAGCCGCCUCGCGUCCGGCCCUCCGCCUCCGCCUCCGCCCCCGCAAGCGCAGGGGCCUCCGCCUCCGUCUCCAGUGAUCGCGUCCUUCCCGCUGACGCGCGACCAGAUCGACGGGAUCAAGGACGCGGCCGCGCCGCACGCGUCGUCGUUCGUGGCGGCGUCGGCGCUGGCGUGGGUGUGCCUGCUGCGGUGCCGGUCCGCGGGCGUGGAAGGCGCGGCGCGCAGCCACAUGCUGUUCUCGGCGGAGUGCCGGUCGAGGCUGGCGCCGCCGCUCCCGGCCGAGUACUUCGGCAACUGCCUGCGCCCGUGCUUCGUGGAGGCCGCGACGGAUGAGCUCAAGGGCGACACGGGCGGGAGCGUGGCGGCGGCUGCGGCGGCCAUCGGGGCGGCGAUAAGGGAGAUGGAGCGGGGCGUGCUGGAGGGCGCGGAGGAGUGGCUGGGGCAGGUGAUGUCGGUGCUGCCGCAGCGGCCCAUGUCCGUGGGCGGGUCGCCGCGGCACGGCGUGUACGCGGGCGCGGACUUCGGGUGGGGCACGCCGUGCAGGGUGGACAUGGUGUCCAUCGAGAUGACCCCCGGCACGGUGUCGCUGACCGAGAGCCCCGACGGGUGCGGCGGCGUCGAGGUCGGCGUCGUGCUGCCGCCCGACGCCAUGGAAGCUUUCGCCUCUUGCUUCGCCGAGCUCCUCGACAAGAAGAGCGUGUGA